CGCGGAGAGGAGCUGCGGGAGCAGCGCAGAGAAUGCUGGGAUACUGGAGGUCAGCCCAACGCUGCCUGUGGGUUUAGCUCUCCUUCAGUGUUUAAGUGGGUUAUUUUGUGCCCUUACCUCUUAUCCAGACUCUCUGAAUUGACAAGAUGGAGCUCAGGGAAGAAAUGCCCAAAAGAAAGGCACCUUUAUUUUGAUUUCAAGAAGGCACAGCUAAUUUGCUAGAGUGAAGAACUCAGAAGAUGGUGACCUGCACCUCAGGUCUCUGUGGUGUUCUCUCAGGGCAUUUAAGAAAGAUCAAACAUGUUCCAAGCACUGGAGAUACAGAGAUUAGCAAGUCUCGGCCCUCAAGAAGAAUAUACCAUGUAAGAGUAAUUGAAAGGUUGCCUGCUGUGCACAAGACUGUUCUGCUAGCCUGGAACCCGACCGGACACAGCAUUUGCCAACCCCCUGCCAGGAACAACAGUGCACUGAGAUAGAAGUUAAUAUGAAUUUGGAGAAAUGGAAUCCUCAUCUGUGGAGACCAUCAUAUAUGAGUAAGUAAAAGAUAACAAAUAUUUUACUUUGUCCUGUCA